GAGGCUGUAGCUCAGUGGUAGAGAACUUACCUUGUAUGUGUGAGGCACUGGGUUCAAUCCUCAGCACCACA
rnacentral:tRNA from 1 species